rnacentral:rRNA from 1 species
GAUGAACGCUGGCGGCGUGCCUAAUACAUGCAAGUCGAGCGAACAGACGAGGAGCUUGCUCCUUUGACGUUAGCGGUGGACGGGUGAGUAACACGUAGGUAACCUACCUAUAAGACUGGGAUAACUUCGGGAAACCGGAGCUAAUACCGGAUAAUAUUUCGAACCGCAUGGUUCGAUAGUGAAAGAUGGCUUUGCUAUCACUUAUAGAUGGACCUGCGCCGUAUUAGCUAGUUGGUAAGGUAACGGCUUACCAAGGCAACGAUACGUAGCCGACCUGAGAGGGUGAUCGGCCACACUGGAACUGAGACACGGUCCAGACUCCUACGGGAGGCAGCAGUAGGGAAUCUUCCGCAAUGGGCGAAAGCCUGACGGAGCAACGCCGCGUGAGUGAUGAAGGUCUUCGGAUCGUAAAACUCUGUUAUUAGGGAAGAACAAACGUGUAAGUAACUGUGCACGUCUUGACGGUACCUAAUCAGAAAGCCACGGCUAACUACGUG